CUUGGAGUCUAGUGUAGUUCCUUAGUGAGUCAUGCUCUGGUAGAUGUAACAUCGGGACGGGAUGUUUUGCCUUGUUUUCGGUUUGGUUGUUGAAUAACCUUACAUGUAAUGUGUUACAUGUUUUGCAUGUUGUUGUUAAUUUCUAUCCGCUGCGAAUUAUGCAAAUGUUUAUUUUGAUGAAUAAAUGAGCAUGACGAGUUAAAUUGGAACAUGGUGUGAAGUGUCAAGUGUGACACCCUUAAAUUGC
rnacentral:lncRNA from 1 species